UCUUGGCAUGGGGGCACCCUGACGACAACGCUGCUUGAGUGAAGAAGGUUUUCGGAUCGUAAAGCUCUGUUGUAAGUCAAGGACGGGUGUGAGAGUGGAAAGUUCACACUGUGACGGUAGCUUACCAGAAAGGGACGGCUAACUACGUGCCAGCAGCCGCGGUAAUACGUAGGUCCCGAGCGUUGUCCGGAUUUAUUGGGCGUAAAGCGAGCGCAGGCGGUUUGAUAAGUCUGAAGUUAAAGGCUGUGGCUCAACCAUAGUUCGCUUUGGAAACUGUCAAACUUGAGUGCAGAAGGGGAGAGUGGAAUUCCAUGUGUAGCGGUGAGAUGCGUGGAUAUAUGGAGGAACACCGGUGGCGAAAGCGGCUCUCUGGUCUGUAACUGACGCUGAGGCUCGAAAG
rnacentral:rRNA from 1 species